rnacentral:rRNA from 1 species
UACGAGGGGUGCGAGCGUUGCUCGGAAUUAUUGGGCGUAAAGGGUAGGUAGGUGGUCUCAUUUGUCUGGGGUGAAAGCCUUGAGCUUAACUCAAGAAGUGCCCUAGAAACGGUGAGACUAGAGUUCUGGAGAGGGUCGUGGAAUUCCCGGUGUAGCGGUGAAAUGCGUAGAGAUCGGGAGGAACACCAGCGGCGAAGGCGGCGACCUGGACAGAUACUGACACUCAACUACGAAAGCGUGGGGAGCAAACAGG